ensembl:miRNA mir219-2 microRNA mir-219-2
UCGGAGCUGAUUGUCCAAACGCAAUUCUUGCGUCUGCCUUUGUGAAACCAGGAGUUGUGGAUGGACAUCACGCCCCUGAC